rnacentral:tRNA from 1 species
GCGGGUAUAGUUUAGUGGCAGAACGGGUCCUUGCCAAGGAUCAGACGGGAGUUCGAUUCUCCCUAUCCGCA